AUGAACGUGGGCACCUCGUCCAUGACCACCACCUUCUUCUUCUUUUUCUUCACCUGCUCCUCUCUCCUCUUCGGGGAAAGUACCUCCUCUUUGAGCACAGACUUCAGCUCCUUUAUCCAGUCCUCCCUCCUCCCGGGGGUCUGCGCUUCCUCUGGGGACAACUUCUUAAUCCCGUCCUCCUUCCGCCCAGGGGUCUGCGCCUCCUCUGGGGACAACUUCUUAAUCCAGUCCUCCCUCCACCCAGGGGUCUGCGCCUCCUCUGAGGCCUCCUUCUUGAUCCAGUCAUCGCUCCUUCUGCGGGUCUGCACCUCCUCUGGGGCCUCCUUUUUGGCCCAGUCCUCCCUCCUCCAGGGGGUCUGUACCUCCUCUGGGGCCGCCUUCUUGUUCCAGUCGUUGCUCCCUCUGCGGGGUGUCACCCUAACUCUUUUUACUGUCACCUCCUCUUUCAUUUCUCCUUGUUUCAGCCUUGUGGGAGAUAGCAGCAUCUCAUUCAGCAGUUGUCGUUUCACCUCCUCUGUUCCAGGGAACCCAUUCUCUAUCCAGGCUUUGUGACCUUUGACCCCUAGCUCCACCUCUUCUUUCUUCUCUUUCCUUCUUUCCUUCGCUGUGUAUUCCUUCCCAAACUUUACUGGCUCAUCCUUAGUGGCAGGCCCUGGCUGUUCUACUCUCUCGCUGCAUCCCUCUAAUGCAGAUUUAAACUCAUCCUCAAUGAGAUCUUCUGGCUCUUCCGCCAUCUCAAUCGCUCCCUCUGACUGUGAGUCUAGAUUAUCGUCAAUGUUUGUCACUGGCUGUUCCUCCAACUCACCCCCUCCCUCUGCUCCUCCCGUCCCUAUCUCUGAGACUGGGACCAGAUUAUCCAUCUCUUCAGCCCCUCCCACCUCUGCAGCUCCGGGCUCAUCCAGAAUGACCUCUCCUUUCUGUUCUUUCUCCAUGUCUCCUUCCUCCUCAAGCUCGAAAGCCUCCUCAACAUGCUCUAAAUCCUUGUCAUCGUCCUCCUGUGUAGCUCCUGCUGAACCCUUGAGUAUCUGUACCUGUGGCUGAGCUACAACUUUGUCUUCUUUCUCUUCCCCCUCUUCUCUGUUAGCAUUAUCAGGCUCUAAAGCCUUUUCCGUCUGUUCCUCCAUACUGCCACCUCUUCUCUCUUCCUCUGCUAUGUCUACAUUAUCCUUCUUCUUUUGCUCCUCAUCUACUUUACUGCCUCCUGUGUCCAUCCCCAACACCGCAUUAUCCCCAACCUGUCGCGGUUCUUCCCUCUCCCCACCACCUCUCUCCACUGCCCUAUCACUGUCACCCUCUUCCACCUGUAGCUGUUGUUUUGUCUGUUGUAAACCUCCCUCCUCUUUAGAGCUGUUCUCACCCUCCUGACUCUCAUUGGGCUGUAUCAGUAGCUGUGGCUUGCUCUUGCUCCCUCCCUCAACAGGUGGAGUGACAACAUCCUGUGGCUGUUGAGCUGUGGUUGCCUGACUCUUGACGACUCCAAGCUCUAUGAACUCCUUGGUAACGAACAACGGGGGCUGGUGCUCUGUCGCUUGAUGCCCCUCCUCUUUUUUCUCUAAAACUGCUUUAGUUGUCUCUCCCUGUUCUUCUGUAACAGGGCUUUUAACCUCCUCCUCUUUUUUCUCUGUACUCUUCUCACUUCCCUGCUGGUUCUCAUCCCUUUCUUCUUGUGAAACCUGUAGAUUUUGUGCCAAUUUAUUGUUACUUUCCUCACUCUCUCCUUCAUUGUCAUUGGCUGGCUGAUGUUUAGGCUCCUCUUCCUGUCCUUCCUCCUGUCGUGUCCCUCUGACCUCAUCACUAGUGGACACAGUUUGACAGUCCUCAGUCACUUGACUCCCACUUUCAUCACUCACUCUUACUAUGCCAUCAUCAUUAGUCACCUGGCUGAUGGACAUCUCUGCAUCCUGACCGCCACUAUGCUCUCCCUUCGCUAACUCAUCUGUAGUGGAUGUGGUUUCUGGCUUUCGACUCUCAUUACAUAGCUCUUCUUUACUCUCCACCUCAUCAUUAGUUGACGGGGCUGGCGGUUCUGUUGUCGUCAAACCAACAUUGUCCUCUGUCUUCUCUGUCUCAUCAAUAGGCAAAACGAUUUGUGCCUUUUCUGCCUCUGGAGAUGUGUCCUCGUCUUUUGUCUCUACCUCAUCAUUAAUGGACUCAGUUUCAGGUAAACUAGGGGAUGGUGGGGGGUGAGGAGGUUCUCUCUCCACUAUUUCUCUCUUUUUGUCCGCCCCUGCUGACUCCUCUCUCUCAGUGAACUUCUCUUCUUCAACAGCCUCUACAGAUUUCUCCUGCUCCUCUUCAAUUACAACAACUGUCACUGUCAGCUCCCCCUCCCCUUUAUCUCCCUCUCUCUUUUCCUGUAAACCAAUCUCUUCUUCAAUCCCCCUCUCCCCCUCCUCUCCCUCCUUUCCUCCGCUCCCGCUAGCUUGCAUCGUCACUUCGAAAUGAUCAGGUGCACCUUCCCCCUCACCUGCCAUCCCAAUGUCCUCCAUGUCCUCACCCACCUCCUCCCCCAGUUCUAACACCUCCUCUGCUAGUUCUACAUCCUCCUCCUCCUCCUCUUCAUCUCGUUGUCUCUGUCUGUCCGGGUUGGUACAGGUUCCUAUAGGGCUGUGGAUG
rnacentral:lncRNA from 13 species